AAUAAGUGCAGUUUUGCACUAUUCAUGUCCAAUGUUUAAUCAUUCAUCUUAUUUGAAUUUUUUUAGAUUAGUAUUUUUUGUUGUUAUUAGAUGAUAAAACAUAAAUAGUACUUUAUGUGUGACUAUUUUUUAAAAAAAAUCACAAAUUUUUCAAAUAAGACGGGCAGUCAAACAUUUGACACGGAUAUCCACAACUGCCUUAUU
rfam:Oryza glaberrima chromosome 7 Oglab07_unplaced078_1, whole genome shotgun sequence.